UUCAGCAAUUUAAUACAAAGACGGACUAGAUCGGGCGAGGAUCAUACAGAAAGGGCGUUUCACAUAUCUACUAGAAUAGUGUUGGACGAAAGCGUGAUACCUAAACGAUAUACCAGAGUAUUGCUACAUGAUGUGUAUCUAGAUACCGUUGACUUGUCAUUAAUACUGAGAGGAAGCGGUUAUGGAAAUAGUGCUGGUAGUUUGUGAGAGGUUCAAGCUCUGACACAUACGGGCCGAAUGCGAGCAAGCCCAUUAGAGGAAGCGAUGGAAUUGUAUCAGAUUGGACGGAUAUAUUAUCGCAAGGCUGCGAGGAUCUUAUUUUAGAGUAUCUCACCUUGGAAUCAUUACCGACUGUUCUCAAGUGGGGCAGUCAACCUCAUGGAUCAGCAUGGGUGCACAGACAAGCGUU